AAUCGUACCCCAAACCGACACAGGUGGUCAGGUAGAGAAUACCAAGGCGCUUGAGAGAACUCGGGUGAAGGAACUAGGCAAAAUGGUGCCGUAACUUCGGGAGAAGGCACGCUGACACGUAGGUGAAGUGAUUUACUCAUGGAGCUGAAGUCAGUCGAAGAUACCAGCUGGCUGCAACUGUUUAUUAAAAACACAGCACUGUGCAAACACGAAAGUGGACGUAUACGGUGUGACGCCUGCCCGGUGCCGGAAGGUUAAUUGAUGGGGUCAGCGCAAGCGAAGCUCCUGAUCGAAGCCCCGGUAAACGGCGGCCGUAACUAUAACGGUCCUAAGGUAGCGAAAUUCCUUGUCGGGUAAGUUCCGACCUGCACGAAUGGCGUAAUGAUGGCCAGGCUGUCUCCACCCGAGACUCAGUGAAAUUGAACUCGCUGUGAAGAUGCAGUGUACCCGCGGCAAGACGGAAAGACCCCGUGAACCUUUACUAUAGCUUGACACUGAACAUUGAGCCUUGAUGUGUAGGAUAGGUGGGAGGCUUUGAAGUGUGGACGCCAGUCUGCAUGGAGCCGACCUUGAAAUACCACCCUUUAAUGUUUGAUGUUCUAACGUGGACCCGUGAUCCGGGUUGCGGACAGUGUCUGGUGGGUAGUUUGACUGGGGCGGUCUCCUCCUAAAGAGUAACGGAGGAGCACGAAGGUUGGCUAAUCCUGGUCGGACAUCAGGAGGUUAGUGCAAUGGCAUAAGCCAGCUUGACUGCGAGCGUGACGGCGCGAGCAGGUGCGAAAGCAGGUCAUAGUGAUCCGGUGGUUCUGAAUGGAAGGGCCAUCGCUCAACGGAUAAAAGGUACUCCGGGGAUAACAGGCUGAUACCGCCCAAGAGUUCAUAUCGACGGCGGUGUUUGGCACCUCGAUGUCGGCUCAUCACAUCCUGGGGCUGAAGUAGGUCCCAAGGGUAUGGCUGUUCGCCAUUUAAAGUGGUACGCGAGCUGGGUUUAGAACGUCGUGAGACAGUUCGGUCCCUAUCUGCCGUGGGCGCUGGAGAACUGAGGGGGGCUGCUCCUAGUACGAGAGGACCGGAGUGGACGCAUCACUGGUGUUCGGGUUGUCAUGCCAAUGGCACUGCCCGGUAGCUAAAUGCGGAAGAGAUAAGUGCUGAAAGCAUCUAAGCACGAAACUUGCCCCGAGAUGAGUUCUCCCUGAGACUUUAGGUCUCCUGAAGGAACGUUGAAGACGACGACGUUGAUAGGCCGGGUGUGUAAGCGCAGCGAUGCGUUGAGCUAACCGGUACUAAUGAACCGUGAGGCUUAACC
rnacentral:rRNA from 1 species